rnacentral:snoRNA from 14 species
CUAAUGACCUCAAGAUUUACUAGAAAGAAAAUUUUGUGUCCCAUACUAGAGCAAACUGUGGCUGCUAACCAUUGCCCAGCCUCCGUGCAUGUAGACGGCUAGCACUGAAGUGGGUCACACAGUG